rnacentral:rRNA from 1 species
UACGUAGGGAGCAAGCGUUGUCCGGAAUCAUUGGGCGUAAAGCGCGCGUAGGUGGCCUCAUAAGUCCGCUGUGAAAGUCAAAAGGCUCAACCUUUGAAAGCCGGUGGAUACUGUGAGGCUAGAGUACGGAAGAGGCGAGUGGAAUUCCUGGUGUAGCGGUGAAAAUGCGCAGAUAUCAGGAAGAACACCAAUGGCGAAGGCAGCUCACUGGGACGGUAUUGACGCUGAGACGCGAAAGCGUGGGGAGCAAACAGG